GAGAGAUUCUCCUCUAAGAUUUGAGUACAGUAUGCCUUACUGCAGGCACAUUUACAAGUAGAAUAGAAAGGAAUGUAAUAAAUAUUACAUGUGCACUUCACGAACUUUUGAAACUGGGAUUUACAUAUUGAAGAACCAUCAUAGGACAUCUUUGAACUAGCUCAACAACAGAUAACAACAUUCAAUCUAAGAUUUUAAAUCCAUGUAUUCCAUUGGAACAUCCCAUUAAUAGAUUGAAAACAUGCAACUAAAAAGAUUAGACGAUUAAGACUUUUACCAUGCUGGGUUGUUUGACAAUAAGGAUAUACAUGAUCAGACAGCGCGAAAAGGUAGCAAUUGUUUCAAUCAUUAACCGCAGUUUAAGCAGGAGUAAAUUCUGAGAAAGGAUAUACAAUGGUUCGGCUAAUAGCUCCAGUAUACAUGCACAG
rnacentral:misc_RNA from 1 species